rnacentral:rRNA from 1 species
UACAGAGGGUGCAAGCGUUAAUCGGAUUUACUGGGCGUAAAGCGCGCGUAGGCGGCUAAUUAAGUCAAAUGUGAAAAUCCCCGAGCUUAACUUGGGAAUUGCAUUCGAUACUGGUCAGCUAGAGUGUGGGAGAGGAUGGUAGAAUUCCAGGUGUAGCGGUGAAAUGCGUAGAGAUCUGGAGGAAUACCGAUGGCGAAGGCAGCCAUCUGGCCUAACACUGACGCUGAGGUGCGAAAGCAUGGGGAGCAAACAGG